rnacentral:lncRNA from 1 species
AGGUGGGCACUCUUGAGACUGCAGAGCAGAAGAGACCACCAACACUGCCCACCCCUGCCCACAUCCCUGGCCCAAGAGUAAACUGUAUACAGCCUCUGGGUUCCCGUAGAUGAGGGCCCAGGAGCAGCAGGUCCCCUGCUUCUGAGACACUGCCAGAACCUGAAGGGACCGACCAGAUAAACAGUUCUCUGCACCCAAAUCCCAUGGGAGGGAGAGCUAAACCUUCAGAGAGGCAGACACGUCUGGGAAACCAGAAGAGACUACACUCUGCCCACAUCUCUGACUCCAGAGGAAAACACCAAAUGCCAUCUGGGACUCUGGUGCACGGGGGCCCCUGGAAACGGCGGCGCAGGUCCUCCUGUUUGCUACCCCAGGGGAGAGCUGAUAAGCAACACCCCACAAGCAAACUUGAGCCUCGGGACCACAGGUAAGACAAACUUUUCUGCUCCAAGUGACAUGCCUGGUGAACUCAGGGCACAGGCCCACAGGAACAGCUGAAGACCUGUAGAUAGGAAAAACUACACGCCCGAAAGCAGAACACUCUGUUCCCAUAACUGGCUGAGGAAAACAGGAAAA